GUACUCGCUUCGGCGGUACAUAUACUAAAACUGGAACGAUACAGAGAAGAUUAGCAUAGCCCCUGCGCAAGGAUGACACGCCGGCGCGGUAGCUCAGUGUGUU